UUUUUGAUAGCUCAGUUGGUAGAAGCGGAGGACUGUAGAUCCUUAGGUCGCUGGUUCAACUCUGCCUGAAAGGA